UUAAAGAAAUAAGAAAGUCAAGGGAAAGCUUCUAACUUUAACCUUUAGCAGUGAAAUUCUGUUAUUAUUUCU
rnacentral:tRNA from 1 species